CGAAAUAGCUCAAUUGGUAGAGCAACUGAUUUGUAAUCAGUAGGUUCCGGGUUCGAUUCCUGGUUUCGGC
rnacentral:tRNA from 3 species